AAUGAAAUAAAAUGGGAAGGCAAGACUGGAGAAAAAAGGGUAAAAAGGAAUGAACAAAGUCUCCAAGAAAUAAAAGUGGGACUAUGUGAAAAGACCUAAUCUACGUUUGAUAGGCGUACCCGAAUGCGAC